rnacentral:lncRNA from 1 species
CAUAGAGUCAGAGUUGGGGGGUGGAUCCUGUGUCUUCCCACUAGGUCCCACUUCAUAGUUUCCAUCAUCUCUAUAACAGCACAUUGAGGAUCCAUCAACAAAUGGCCCCCAUGGGCAGACAGACCAUAUCCAAUAGAUGCCUACAACCAAAGUUAAGUUCCAGUCAGUCAUUAAAAGUGAGGUACAAAGUUUUACCCACAAGAAGAUAUACUCUAUUCUGAAAGAAUUUGAAUUUCCAAGAUACAGAAUCAUAAAAUGAAUGAAGCACCUGAUGGUCAAGGAAGAGAAAAGAAGAUGAAAGGAUGAAUGCGUAUUUGUUUCAUAAUCAC